GGGGUUGUACUGGUUUCGACGGGGGAUUGGCAGUCUGGGAAGCCAUCCGCGGGACGGGGCCGCGUCAUCAAUCCGUAAACUUAAAUAUAAACGCAGAAGAUCGUUUAGCUUACGCUGCCUAAUGGCAGCUGUCGGCCUCAGGUCGCUCAUUGCCUGAGAAUCCGGCACUAAUCAGAUGAGGCCCUCCGUACCCUAAGCUUUGCGGGCGCGGAAGAGACAUGAAGCUACUGAAAAAGAAAGCCUGUCAUUCGGCGUUCUUUGGAGGGAAUGUUAAAGGAAUGACUGUGAUGGGAGAAACCUGGAUGAAAGGUCUUUCGGACAGGGGUUCGAUUCCCCUCAGCUCCAU
rnacentral:tmRNA from 1 species